CCGAAAGUGAGCCGAAUACUACAGGGAUAUCAAAAGAAACACUUCGACAUCUGGGGGCGAAGCAUCAAGCUCUUGCGACGACAUUCGGCACAAUAUGAGAUAGUUGUGGAGCCUCUGAUCUGAUGAACGCGAGUGCGAGGACUGUUAAUGUGACUCACACUUAAAUCUUUAUAAAUAAGGAACCAUUAGGCAAUGUGUGUGAGCCAGAGUAAAGAGUCACAGGCGAACAGAGGAUUUGUUAGAGAGGUGUGUGAUUGUGUCUGUGUGAAGCAGUUCUCAGGGUCUUUCAUCUAAGAGUGCCCUCAACAGUCAACAACGUCGAAAGUCGCCUACUUUAAGCGAAAAUAUGCGGAAGAGGAGGAUGUUCAGAGAAGCCUACAUGGAUAUUUACAAAAACACCUGAUCUUACGUGAGGAGCGCAGCAGCAUCCUGCAUAUGUCUCUGCAAAAGCUGCGUUUCCUAGACGACCCUGAGGCUUACCUCCGCCGGUCUGUGCUCAUCAACAACCUGCUACGCAAAAUCCACAUGGACGAGGCCCAGAGGGAGAGAGAGAAACAGAGGGAUGUCGAGGAGGAGGAGGAGAGGCGGCUUCUGCCAUCCAGCAGGAAAAGAUUAAAGGUGGUGCUGACCCAGUGUCGAGCCUCCAGCUUCAGCCUUCAGGAGUUCCAGCAGUACAAGCUGCUGCCGUACUCCUCUCCAGCCAUGUGCAUCUGUGGCCUGGGAAGUUGCCACAACUUGCCUCCUGAUCAUGGAACCUCAGUGCUACUCUACCAUUUGGAUGAGAAAGGAUGAGAUGUCGCUGCAUUUAUACAGGUUAUUUCAAAGUGUCAAUCACUGAUUUCCAGGAGCCAGGAUGCCAGCAAAAGAAAUAAGGGGAUUUGGUUUUGUGUGCAUUUUGUGUGCUUGUGCAGUCGCUGUUGAGGGUGACUGCAGCAGUUUAUGACCGUAAAAAGCUGGGUUUAUGUCAGGGUGUAAUCUUUCCUACUGGAAAAAGAAAACAUCAACAUUAUUAUCACUGCCUUGCUAUGUUUAUCUUAACUUUGAACACAGACAUUUUGUUUCAGAAAUUUGCUUGGGUUAGCUAUAAUCUUAUAAGGCACAGUUUUCAGGGAUAAAAAAGGCAAAUAAAUGCCAUGCACCUUGUGCUUGUUACCAUGUAAGAGAGGGGGAAAAGAUAGAAAAAAAAGUCAGUGUCUAAUUCCUGGUUGCGCCUAAAGAUGGAUUGAUGCUGAUGUUUUACUAAAGCUUUGUUGAUAUUACAUGGACUUUUUUUGUGCAAGUGGCUACCAAUGUCAAACUAGUAAAGAUUUCUAAAUCUGCUCUGAACUCAUAAUAGGUAACCAAAGAGCAACAGAUGUAAUGUGGCUUAAAUAAAUAAAUAAAAUUAGUUAUUAUAUUUGAUAUACAUAACCAUUUUUAUUUUAUUAAAGUCUUGACGUACUGUCAACUGGAUGCUUGUGGAAGAAACUGAUAUGAAAAGCUGGCUCUAUACUGCCCUCUAGUGUUAUGGCUAUGAAUUUUCCCCAACAUAAAGUUAUCUGUACCCCAACCUGCUUUUUUUUUUUUUUUAUGCUUUAUUUGAACAUUCAGUUUACAGUGUGGUACAACAAAAUCAAUUUAGGUAGUCUAUCCAAUUUUUCUAACCAUUUUACGGAGUUUCCACUGCCUCCUGACACAAAAAACUCUCACACACACAAAUGGAUUUUCUACAUUUUGGUUCUUUAAUCUGCGGAUCUUGUUAAAACCUAUACGGAGUGGGUGUCCGAAUAUCUCAUAACAAUAGCCUACAUUCAAUGCAUGGGUCCAUGGUUUAUUCUAUUCUCUUUCAGUUUGUGACUAGCAGGGAAAAUAGGUAUACAAACCCAAAGUGCUGAAAAAAUGUCCUGUUCUCUCUUACACAGAACCACAACUUAUCCUGUUCUCCUCUUAUAUUAGGCUACUUUGAAUGUCUAUCAAAUGUUGGUUAAUCAAGGUUUUCUAACAGGCCAAGUUGUGCAAGCAUAUUUUGGUACGGUACAUAUGCCUGGUAUCUGUCUAUUCAUAUUUUGUGUGUUUUAUGCACAUUUGUAUUCUAAAGUGAUGUUUGUUUUAUUUUGUCUCCAAUAUAUGAAUGUAAUUUACUGAAAGCUAAACUGAGAGUGCUGUCUUUUGGACAUUUCAAACAUAGACAUGAAUAUGCAGUUUAUUUUGAAAUUAAGCUAUUUUUGGUUUCGAAGAGAACAUUAUGUAAUGCUAUUUUGUCAAAAGAUUUAAAAGUAGCAUAUAAAAAAAAUUAUA